rnacentral:rRNA from 1 species
GAUGAACGCUGGCGGCGUGCCUAAUACAUGCAAGUCGAGCGAACCACUUCGGUGGUGAGCGGCGAACGGGUGAGUAACACGUAGGUGAUCUGCCCAUCAGACGGGGACAACGAUUGGAAACGAUCGCUAAUACCGGAUAGGACGAAAGUUUAAAGGUGCUUCUGGCACCGCUGAUGGAUGAGCCUGCGGCGCAUUAGCUAGUUGGUAGGGUAAAGGCCUACCAAGGAGACGAUGCGUAGCCGACCUGAGAGGGUGAACGGCCACACUGGGACUGGGACACGGCCCAGACUCCUACGGGAGGCAGCAGUAGGGAAUCUUCGGGAAUGGGCGAAAGCCUGACCGAGCAACGCCGCGUGAAUGAUGAAGGCCUUCGGGUUGUAAAAUUCUGUUAUAAGGGAAGAACGACUUUAGUAGGAAAUGGCUAGAGUGUGACGGUACCUUAUGAGAAAGCCACGGCUAACUACGUGCCAGCAGCCGCAGUAA